UACGUAGGGUGCGAGCGUUGCCCGGAUUUAUUGGGCGUAAAGAGCGUGUAGGCGGUUCGGUAAGUCUGUCGUGAAAUCCUGAGGCUCAACCUUGGACGUGCGAUGGAUACUGCCGGGCUAGAGGAUGGUAGAGGCGAGUGGAAUUCUCGGUGUAGCGGUGAAAUGCGCAGAUAUCGGGAGGAACACCAGUAGCGAAGGCGGCAUCCUGGACCAAUUCUGACGCUGAGGAGCGAAAGCCAGGGGAGCAAACGGGG
rnacentral:rRNA from 1 species